rnacentral:rRNA from 1 species
UACGUAGGAUCCAAGCGUUGUCCGGAUUUACUGGGUGUAAAGGGUGCGCAGGCGGGCUGGUAAGUCAGGAGUGAAAUCUCGGCGCUUAACGCCGAAACUGCUUUUGAUACUGCCGGUCUUGAAUCAGCGAGAGACGUGUGGAAUUCCGAGUGUAGCAGUGAAAUGUGUAGAUAUUCGGAAGAACACCAGUGGCGAAGGCAGCACGUUGGCGCUCGAUUGACGCUCAGGCACGAAAGCAUGGGGAUCAAACAGG